rnacentral:ribozyme from 1 species
AAAAAAAGAACGGGCGGCAGCCCCCCUAAAAAAACGACACGAAAUGUUUUUUUUUUUUUUUUUUUUUUUUU